rnacentral:lncRNA from 1 species
GUUUUCUGACUCAGAAGAGAACUUCCUUUUUCUGAUUUAGGUGACAACAUGUCCCAGAAUUUACUUGGAAGUGAAGCCUACACACCUUGCUUAGUUUCUAUCGGGGCAGGAAGAUGACAAACAGGCCAAACUCGAUGAGGCGUCAUAGGAACUUUCACACUUGAAAAAGGAUGGCUCCAGGAAUAUCCUACCAUCUGCCUUGUAUCAUGACAUGAAGGCGCUGGCCCAGGUUUUACCGCAAUGUGAAUGUGUCCUAUGGCUUCCAGCACUGAAAAGAUGAGGCUAAGAAGAAACCAACGUUUAAACUCACGAUCCAGAAGCAAGGCUGUGGAAAAUUA